UAAUGUAAUAUAUUUUAGGUACAUACAUUUAUUUAACUACAAAUAAAAGUCUAUGUUUGUGAAUCAUGUAUAUCGUAUAAUGUUGGUAAUUUUUAAAAUAAUUUAAUAUUCCCUAACUAUUAUUCAAUUUUACAAAGCAUUUGGCAUAAUUUUUAUGAACAUCCAAAAACAUAAACAAAAACGUAUGUUUAUACAUUUACCAUAUACAUAAAUAGACUAUUUUUUUGUCUGUCGUCAGAUUACAUAGUACGAAUAUUGGUAAAAUUAUGAAUAUGUAUUCAAUUUACAAAUUAACCUUUAAUGCAAUACCAAUAGUUGUGAUAGAACCAUUAUUCUGGUUAAUAUCAGCAACACACAGUAAUAUUAAAUGGCCCUUUCCAACUUGAUUCUUGGAUUCAGGGAAAUUGGGUAUAACACAUAAAAAUGAGUAGGUAAAAAAUAAGUCUUCUAUAAUGAAACUGAUCAUUGCGGGGAUAAAACAGCAGAUAAACAAAAACUAUUUCCUGAUAUACAUUCCAUAUAUGACAAAGAAGACAGCAAUUUAAUUUUUCCCACAUACAUCAAUAAGAAGGAACUAGAAUCAUUACUACUGAACAGUCAAACCAAAAAUAAUCAAAUAUAAUAAUAAAAAGUUGAUAAUACAGUUAAAUAAUAAUAAAGAUAAUUUGUCAUGACUCAUCUAGAAUUUGUUAUACAAAUGAAUUGAACUAUUAAAAAACAGCAAAUAAGUUACUUAAAAAUAUGAUCAAAAUGAAAUCUGUCCAAGAAGAUAGUCAACUAAAUUAUAAUUGAAUGGAGGAUAAUUAUCUAUAUAUUUUAUGAUAUAUAAACAAAUGUAUUGUUACCAUCAUUCAGCAAAUAAUAAAAACUUUGCUACAACAGUGGUUAAUUACAAUCCACAUAGAUUAUUAAUUCCACACUUAAUUAUAUUAUAUUAGUUUCUAGACACGCACAUGGCUCAAAAACUGAAGUGAAAAGACAAAUUAAAAACAAAUUGAGAGAAGCGAAAUAACUCAUAAAAAACUAAAAUUAUUGGUUAAGUAGAUACAAGUAUAGUAGAAUAAUGUAUUUUUUUUUUACUUUUUUUUUCACUUAAAUAAUUUAAUUACAAUAAACAUUUAAGGUUUUUUUUAUGUGUUAUUAGUUGACCAUGUAUUUAUGUAGCUUUAUUUAAUUUUAAUUGAAAAUGUAUUUUUAAUAAUUAUUAUUAGAGCUAGAAACUUAAGUCUUUGACAAUAGAUGAAAAUUGAUAAAUAGCUUUUAUAUAAUUUAAAUUGAAUACAGUGUGUUAAUCAAUGAACGAGUUAUUAAUCCUUUUUAAAAAAUAAAUAUGCACUUAAAAUUUUAUUUCAUAUUUCAUUAGAAAAAAAUUGCAUUUUUAACUAUAAAUACAAGUAUAUGUACUAAAUUUUGAAUCCCUAGUUACUUUUUUUAGUUUACUAACUUAGUUGUGGUUAUAAUAUAAAACAAUUUUACAUAAUA